rnacentral:rRNA from 1 species
AGCAGUAAGGAAUAUUGGUCAAUGGACGCAAGUCUGAACCAGCCAUGCCGCGUGGAGGAUGAAGGUCCUCUGGAUUGUAAACUUCUUUUAUCUGGGACGAAAAAAGGCUUUUCUAAGUCGACUGACGGUACCAGAUGAAUAAGCACCGGCUAACUCCGUGCCAGCAGCCGCGGUAAUACGGAGGGUGCAAGCGUUAUCCGGAUUCACUGGGUUUAAAGGGUGCGUAGGCGGGUAUGUAAGUCCGUGGUGAAAUCUCCGAGCUUAACUCGGAAACUGCCAUGGGUACUGCGUAUCUUGAAUGUUGUGGAGGUGAGCGGAAUAUGUCAUGUAGCGGUGAAAUGCUUAGAUAUGACAUAGAACACCAAUUGCGAAGGCAGCUCACUACACAAAUAUUGACGCUGAGGCACGAAAGCGUGGGGAUCAAACAGGAUUAGAUACCCUGGUAGUCCACGCCCUAAACGAUGAUUACUCGACAUACGUGAUACACAAUGUGUGUCUGAGCGAAAGC